UACGAAGGGGGCUAGCGUUGUUCGGAAUUACUGGGCGUAAAGCGUGCGCAGGCGGUUUUGUAAGCCAGGUGUGAAAUCCCCGGGCUCAACCUGGGAAUGGCAUUUGGGACUGCAAGGCUGGAGUGCGGCAGAGGAGACUGGAAUUCCUGGUGUAGCAGUGAAAUGCGUAGAUAUCAGGAGGAACACCGGUGGCGAAGGCGGGUCUCUGGGCAGUAACUGACGCUGAGGAGCGAAAGCGUGGGGAGCGAACAGG
rnacentral:rRNA from 1 species